ACUGCUCAGUAACACGUGGACAACCUACCCUUGGGUCUGGCAUAAUCCUGGGAAACUGGGUAUAAUUCCAGAUAGGUCACAGAUGCUGGAAUGCACUGUGGCCGAAAGCUCCGGCGCCCAAGGAUGGAUCUGCGGCCUAUCAGGGUUGUAGUGGGUGUAACGGACCUACUAGCCUACGACGGGUACGGGUUGUGAGAGCAAGAGCCCGGAGAUGGAUUCUGAGACACGAAUCCAGGCCCUACGGGGUGCAGCAGGCGCGAAAACUUUACAAUGCGGGAAACCGUGAUAAGGGAAUCUCGAGUGCCAGCAUAUAAUGUUGGCUGUCCAGAUGCCUAAAAAGCAUCUGUUAGCAAGGGCCGGGCAAGACCGGUGCCAGCCGCCGCGGUAACACCGGCGGCCCGAGUGGUAACCGCUUUUAUUGGGUCUAAAGGGUCUGUAGCCGGCCAAGUAAGUCCCUUGGGAAAUCUGGCAGCUUAACUGUCAGGCUGCUAGGGGAUACUGCUAGGCUUGGGACCGGGAGAGGUGAGAGGUACCUUGGGGGUAGGGGUGAAAUCUUGUGAUCCUCGGGGGACCACCAGUGGCGAAGGCGUCUCACCAGAACGGGUCCGACGGUAAGGGACGAAAGCUAGGGGCACGAACCGGAUUAGAUACCCGGGUAGUCCUAGCCGUAAACGAUGCUCGCUAGGUGUCAGUCACGGUGCGACCGUGAUUGGUGCCGUAGGGAAGCCGUGAAGCGAGCCACCUGGGAAGUAUGGCCGCAAGGCUGAAACUUAAAGGAAUUGGCGGGGGAGCAC
rnacentral:rRNA from 1 species